UACAGAGGGGGCUAGCGUUAUUCGGAAUUAUUGGGCGUAAAGGGCGCGUAGGCGGCCAUGCGUGUCUUCCGUGAAAUCCCUCGGCUUAACUGAGGACGUGCGGAAGAAACUGCAAGGCUCGAGUCCGGGAGAGGGGGGUGGAAUUCCCAGUGUAGCGGUGAAAUGCGUAGAUAUUGGGAAGAACACCGGUGGCGAAGGCGGCUCACUGGCCCGUAACUGACGCUCAGGCGCGAUAGCGUGGGGAUCAAACAGG
rnacentral:rRNA from 1 species